rnacentral:rRNA from 1 species
AUUGAACGCUGGCGGCAGGCUUAACACAUGCAAGUCGAGCGGAGCGAGGGUGCUUGCACCUUAGCUUAGCGGCGGACGGGUGAGUAAUGCUUAGGAAUCUGCCUAUUAGUGGGGGACAACAUUCCGAAAGGGAUGCUAAUACCGCAUACGCCCUACGGGGGAAAGCAGGGGAUCUUCGGACCUUGCGCUAAUAGAUGAGCCUAAGUCGGAUUAGCUAGUUGGUGGGGUAAAGGCCUACCAAGGCGACGAUCUGUAGCGGGUCUGAGAGGAUGAUCCGCCACACUGGGACUGAGACACGGCCCAGACUCCUACGGGAGGCAGCAGUGGGGAAUAUUGGACAAUGGGGGGAA